AGAACAUGCUGCUGCGGGGCUGUGUGCUGCGAAACACCGAGUGGUGCUUCGGGCUGGUCAUCUUUGCAGGUCCCGACACUAAGCUGAUGCAAAACAGCGGCAGAACAAAGUUCAAAAGAACGAGUAUCGAUCGCCUAAUGAAUACCCUGGUGCUCUGGAUUUUUGGAUUCCUGGUUUGCAUGGGGGUGAUCCUGGCCAUUGGCAAUGCCAUCUGGG
rnacentral:misc_RNA from 1 species